rnacentral:rRNA from 1 species
GACGAACGCUGGCGGCGUGCCUAAUACAUGCAAGUCGAACGCUUCUUUUUCCACCGGAGCUUGCUCCACCGGAAAAAGAGGAGUGGCGAACGGGUGAGUAACGCGUGGGUAACCUGCCCAUCAGAAGGGGAUAACACUUGGAAACAGGUGCUAAUACCGUAUAACAAUCGAAACCGCAUGGUUUUGAUUUGAAAGGCGCUUUCGGGUGUCGCUGAUGGAUGGACCCGCGGUGCAUUAGCUAGUUGGUGAGGUAACGGCUCACCAAGGCCACGAUGCAUAGCCGACCUGAGAGGGUGAUCGGCCACAUUGGGACUGAGACACGGCCCAAACUCCUACGGGAGGCAGCAGUAGGGAAUCUUCGGCAAUGGACGAAAGUCUGACCGAGCAACGCCGCGUGAGUGAAGAAGGUUUUCGGAUCGUAAAACUCUGUUGUUAGAGAAGAACAAGGAUGAGAGUAAC